UACGGAGGGUGCAAGCGUUGUUCGGAAUCAUUGGGCGUAAAGCGGGUGUAGGCGGCUUGGUAAGUCGGGUGUGAAAGCCCAGGGCUCAACCCUGGAAUUGCAUUCGAAACUGCCUCGCUAGAGUCCCGGAGAGGGUGGCGGAAUUCCCGGUGUAGAGGUGAAAUUCGUAGAUAUCGGGAGGAACACCAGUGGCGAAGGCGGCCACCUGGACGGUGACUGACGCUCAGACCCGAAAGCGUGGGGAGCAAACAGG
rnacentral:rRNA from 1 species